UACGUAGGCAGCAAGCGUUGUUCGGAAUUACUGGGCGUAAAGAGUGUGUAGGCGGUGCCGUACGUCCGUUGUGAAAUCGCUCGGCUCAACUGGGCGGGGUCAGCGGAUACGGUGGCACUUGAGCAAGCUAGGGGGCAAUGGAAUUCCCGGUGUAGUGGUGGAAUGCGCAGAUAUCGGGAAGAACACCCGUGGCGAAGGCGGCUCUCUGGGACGGUACUGACGCUGAGACGCGAAAGCGUGGGGAGCGAACAGG
rnacentral:rRNA from 1 species